UCCCUCUUAGCUCAGCUGGUAGAGCGCGUCACUAGUAUCCGCAACCAUAAGUGCAUAAUGACGAGGUCAGUCGUUCAAGUCGGCUAGAGGGAA